UACGGAGGGGGCUAGCGUUGUUCGGAAUUACUGGGCGUAAAGCGCACGUAGGCGGAUAUUUAAGUCAGGGGUGAAAUCCCGGGGCUCAACCCCGGAACUGCCUUUGAUACUGGGUAUCUGGAGGUCGAGAGAGGCGAGUGGAAUUCCGAGUGUAGAGGUGAAAUUCGUAGAUAUUCGGAGGAACACCGGUGGCGAAGGCGGGUCUCUGGGCCGAUACUGACGCUGAGGAGCGAAAGCGUGGGGAGCGAAC
rnacentral:rRNA from 1 species